rnacentral:rRNA from 1 species
AUUCGAGCUCCGGCUCGACUCUCCCACCCAAUGUGUACCUACCUCUGUUGCUUUGGCGGGCCGCGGUCCUCCGCACCGGCGCCCUUCGGGGGGCUGGCCAGCGCCCGCCAGAGGACCAUAAAACUCCAGUCAGUGAACUUCGCAGUCUGAAAAACAAGUUAAUAAACUAAAACUUUCAACAACGGAUCUCUUGGUUCUGGCAUCGAUGAAGAACGCAGCGAAAUGCGAUAAGUAAUGUGAAUUGCAGAAUUCAGUGAAUCAUCGAAUCUUUGAACGCACAUUGCGCCCCUUGGUAUUCCGAGGGGCAUGCCUGUUCGAGCGUCAUUUCAACCCUCAAGCUCUGCUUGGUAUUGGGCCCCGUCCUCCACGGACGCGCCUUAAAGACCUCGGCGGUGGCGUCUUGCCUCAAGCGUAGUAGAAAACACCUCGCUUUGGAGCGCACGGCGUCGCCCGCCGGACGAACCUUUGAAUUAUUUCUCAAGGUUGACCUCGGAUCAGGUAGGGAUACCCGCUGAACUUAAGCAUAUCAAUAAGCGGA